rnacentral:rRNA from 1 species
UACGUAGGGGGCUAGCGUUGUCCGGAAUCAUUGGGCGUAAAGCGCGUGUAGGCGGUCCGGUAAGUCCGCUGUGAAAGUCGGGGGCUCAACCCUCGGAUGCCGGUGGAUACUGUCGGGCUUGAGUACGGAAGAGGCGAGUGGAAUUCCUGGUGUAGCGGUGAAAUGCGCAGAUAUCAGGAGGAACACCAAUGCGAAGGCAGCUCGCUUGGGACGUUCCUGACGCUGAGACGGCGAAAGCUAGGGGAGCGAACGAGGA